CCCAUGAGUUGAGUGUGCCUUCUCCACCCAUGCAAGCCGCCGCCAGUGAACCCAACUUUGUUAGGCUAAGGCUGUGUUCUUGGCGGUGUUUGGCUGGAAGGUAUUGGACAGUCCUGCAAAAGGAAUGGUCUUACUCUCGUGUCCCAGUACCUGUGAAAACCUCUCCAACCUCUGUGCUCUGGGAGCAUUGCCAGCGACUCUGUCACUUCCAUGCCCUCCCCUCAUUCUCCAGGAGGGGAGACACAGGUGGAAGGCCAUGAGGGGAACCUUCCCAGGCUGCACAGCCCUGACCCAGCUUCUCCAUGAACUCGAAGUACCUCCUAUUUCCUUAAAAAACUGUCGCAAGAGGACCCACGUUGUCCCAGGCACAAAGCAUCAGGACUGACUGCCACAGAGGAACUUCCCAGGCACGGUCUGCUCAGGGUCUAGUCGAGCUCCCCGGUUUCUGGAAGGUUUGGAGCCGGUCCCUGGGUGGGCGACUUCCCAUCUGCUCCUUGCUCUGCUCGCGGGCUUGGAAGGGGUUGGGCCCUCGGAGCAGCGCCUUUUCAGUCCUCCUCUGGCUGGGCCAGCACAGAUGGAGGAAGACAGGGCUCUCAACCACCUGCCUCCCCCAGACUCCCCACCCUCCACGCAGCAGGAGACCUCAUGGUGGGAGGCAGGCUGCCUGCGUUCCAGCCUUGGGCAGGUACUUGGACUCUCUGGGCCUCAGCUGUUCCAUCUGUACAGUGGGAAUAGCCAUUGGAUUUGAAUGGAGUAGUAAUAAGUACUUAAUAAGUACUUACAAAGAGAUAGUAUAAAUAAGAGUACUGGAAGAUGAUCCACGGAGAGUGGCGAGCACAGUGCCUGGUGCAGAAUGAAGAACUAACAAAUGGCACUGAUUACAAGAGGGCAAGCCCUUGGUCUCCCAGAGCUGGUCAUCAACUCUCAUGCAGCUUCAUCAGCUACAUGAAACACCUGCUGUCCAACAAGCCCGGCCGGAUGGCACGACCUUCCCAACUCUGAAUCUUUGUUGGUCCCGCUUUCCUUCCCGCGGUCCCUCUUUCAUGCUUCCUCCUCAGGCUGAAAGUCUCCUCCAUCCUUCAAGGGUCAGCUCAGUGCUGCCUACUCUGGGACAUUCUUCCUCACUUCCCUCAACGCAAAGAAAAAUUA